GACGUAGGGUGCGAGCGUUGUCCGGAUUUAUUGGGCGUAAAGAGCUCGUAGGCGGCUCGUCGCGUCGACCGUGAAAACCCGCGGCUUAACUGCGGGCUUGCGGUUGAUACGGGCGGGCUAGAGUUCGGUAGGGGAGACUGGAAUUCCUGGUGUAGCGGUGAAAUGCGCAGAUAUCAGGAGGAACACCGGUGGCGAAGGCGGCAUCCUGGACCGGCAUUGACGCUGAGGCGCGAAAGCCAGGGGAGCAAACGGG
rnacentral:rRNA from 1 species